rnacentral:rRNA from 1 species
CAUCUGUCGGUACCCGCUGUAGGUAGGGCGAGAGCGAUGGGUUGGACACGCCGUGCCGGUACCCGCGGCACCGUCCCUUCUGAUCCCACGUACCCCGACGAGCCGCGACGACGUGCCCUCCACGGCCCCGCGACGACAUCUCAUCUGCCUCCUUCCCCCUCUCCACUUAGCCCCUUCCAUGUUGGACCACCGCCCCCCCUGACGCUUGCCGCCGCGAACCGCGAUGUCGGCGUUGCUGUCUUCGAUGUAGGCCACCGCGCACCUCGACGUUGGUACCGCCGCUGGCCCUCGAUGCUGCGGCUGCUACGACCUUGGCCGGUCAAAAAAACGACCUUGCCCGCUGUCCUCUACUCCUUGGCCGAAAAAUUUUUCGAAGUUGGUACAUGACCCUUCGACGUUGGCGUACGUGCUCACGACGUUCGGCAGAUGUGGCCUCGAUGUUGGUCUCCGCGGCCAGCGGCCGCUCCGACGUUCGUGCUCGUGAGCCUCAACAUCGGCUGCCACUACAUACGACCUGACCUCUACUACACACGAAGUUGCUGCCCUCUAACUUUGGACGACGCUCCAGGCCGCUCGCCGUAGUUACCUCCCCCGCAACGACCGGCACUUCGCACCGCCGUCACUAAAAACAAACGCUGGACGCGCUGUUCCACUACGCUUGGGCCGCCGCUGCUACCACUGAUCGCCACGACCUCGGCGCCCGCGCACGGGCCACCGUGUAGUCAACCACGCACGCCCGACGUGAAACAAGUGCUAGGUGAAAAAGGCCCAUCCCUCUUAGUCACCCACCUCUGCAACUGCAACUGAAAUACGAUACUAAUAGAUUCCCGGUAGUCGCGUAAUUAGAUUACCAAAUUUUGGCUGACCGGUUUUCAAAGGCGGCCGCGUGGCCGCGGAUAGUGGGUGGAAAAGUGAAGGUGACCGUUGUUCGACCACGUACUUCUAGGUG